rnacentral:rRNA from 1 species
UACGGAGGGGACUAGCGUUGUUCGGAAUUACUGGGCGUAAAGCGCACGUAGGCGGAUUUGUAAGUCAGGGGUGAAAUCCCGAGGCUCAACCUCGGAACUGCCUUUGAUACUGCAAAUCUCGAGUCCGGAAGAGGUGAGUGGAAUUCCUAGUGUAGAGGUGAAAUUCGUAGAUAUUAGGAAGAACACCGAUGGCGAAGGCAGCUCGCUGGGACGGUACUGACGCUGAGGCGCGAAAGCUAGGGGAGCAAACAGG